AUGUGGAUGGUAACAGUGAGGAGGAGAGAGGGGGUUGCUAUUACUCCCCAUUACGAUGUGGAUCGUAAAAAUGACUCCCCCCUGCAAUACAGUAUCACAGGAGGGGUGCACAGCCACAGCCUGCAGGACCCUGAGGAGCCCUCCUUCUGCUUGGAAGCUGAGGACGACUGGGAGGACCCAGAGGCCCUGAGCUCACUGCUGCUGUUCCUGAACGCCCCCGGGUACAAGGCCAGCUUCCGUGGCCUGUACGACGUGGCGCUGCCAUGGCUGAGCAGCGUCUUCUGCAGCUUUAGCGACAAGGAGGAGCUGACUGGGCGCCUGGCACAGGCCCGAGGGGCGGCCAAGAACGCUGGCCUCCUCAUGGCCCUGGCCAGGCUCUGCUUCCUCCUGGGGCAGCUGUGCAGCAGGAGGCUCAAGCUGUCCCAGGCCCGGGUGUACUUUGAGGAAGCACUGGGGGCCCUGGAGGGCAGCUUCAGGGACCUGUUCCUGGUGGUGGCUGUGUACGCCAACCUGGCCAGCAUUUACCGGAAGCAGAAGAACCGGGAGAAGUGUACACAGGUGGUUCCCAAAGCCGUGGCCCUGCUCCUGGGGACGCCUGGCCACAUCUGCAGCACCGAGGCGGAGGGGGAGCUCCUGCAGCUGGCGCCGCGGUGGGCGGUGGGUGGCCAGAGCCUGCAGGCCGAGGCCCGGGCCUGCUUCCUGCUGGCCAGGCACCACGUGCACCUCAAGCAGCCCGAGGAGGCCCUGCCCUUCCUAGAGCGGCUGCUGCUUUUGCACAGGGACUCGGGAGCCCUAGAGGCUGCGUGGCUCUCAGACUGCUCCCUACUCCUGGCUGACAUCUACAGCCGCAAGUGCCUGCCCCACCUGGUGCUGAGCUGUGUCAAGGUGGCCUCAUUGAGGACACAGGACUCGCUGGCCGGCUCGCUGGGGAGCGUGAACCUGGUGCUCCAGAAUGCCCUCCAGCCCCAGAGCCUCCCCACCCAGACUUCCCACUACCUCAGGCGAGCGCUGGCCUCCCUAACCCCGGGCACAGGCCGGGCGCUGCGCGGCCUUCUCCACGCCAGCCUGGCCCAGCUGUAUAGCCACCAUGGCUACCACGGCCCGGCCAUCACCUUCAUGAUGCAGGCGGUGGAAGCCAGUGCUGUUGCCGGAGUCCGUGCCAUCGUGGACCACCUGGUGGCCCUGGCCUGGCUGCAUGUGCUUCAUGGGCAGAGCCCGGUGGCCCUGGACAUCCUGCAGUCUGUCCAGGAUGCAGUGGUGGCCAGUGAGGACCAGGAGGGUGUGAUUGCCAACAUGGUGGCCGUGGCUCUGAAGAGGAUGGGCCGGACUAGGCAGGCAGCCGAGGGCUACUACCGCGCCCUACAGGUGACUCGGGACCUGGGCCAGCGGAGGAACCAGGCAGUGGCGCUGGCCAACUUCGGGGCCCUGUGCCUGCACGCGGGUGCCAGCAGGCUGGCCCAGCACUACCUCCUGGAGGCCGUGUGGCUGUUCUCGAGGCUGCCCUGUGGGGAGUGUGGCCGGGACUUCACCCACGUGCUCCUGCAGCUGGGCCACCUCUGCACCCGCCAGGGCCCGGCCCAGCAGGGCAAGGGCUACUAUGAGUGGGCCCUUCUGGUCGCUGAGGAGAUGGGCCACGUGGAGAGUGAGUGCCCCGGUUCCUCCUGUGUGCCUUCCGGGGCCACUCGGGUCAGGGCACACCUGGGGUUUGUGAUUCAGAAACAAGUGGUGGUUCUUCCACCAUCGAAAGUGCUGAGUCGUGGCCAACAGCAGAUGUUGGCAAGAGCCCUAGAGACAGGCGGUUCCCAUGCAGGGCCAGGCCCUCUGUGCCCUACUGGGGCAGCCAGCUCUUCCCGGUUUGCCCAGGGACCAUCCUGCCUUGAGCACUGAAAGUCCUGCAUGCUGGGAAUCCCUAGACAUAACCCUGGGAUCAAGGCAGGCUCUGCUGAGCUGGGACUUGGGGCCCCUGCAUGAGCCAGGCCCUGAACGCCGGUUCUUGUGCCUGUGUUAUCUGCUUGGUAUCUCGGCAGCCUGUGCACCUGUCAUCCCACUUCACAGAGGACACAGGGGCGGGUGAUUGCCCAAAGCCACAGAGCAGUUCAUGCAAAAGCAGCUCGUUGUGCAGAGUGUGCCAGGCCCCACCCACAAAUGGGGCUUGUGGGGUCCUCGAGUGGCAGGGGCUGAGCAUGGGAAUGUGAGCUUCAGGCCAGAGAAGCCACAAAAGGGUGAGUGGCAUGAUGGCGGGGCAGCACUUGGCCCCGGGUUAGGGAAGCCUCUUUAGUCUGGGACCACAGGGUUGAGAGGAUUUAGUCAAGUAAUAGGUGGUGGGAGAGGGGCUGGUGGUGUAGCCUGUGUGAAGGCCCAGGGGUGAGCGAG